rnacentral:rRNA from 1 species
CCUACGGGUGGCAGCAGUGAGGAAUAUUCGUCAAUGGACGCAAGUCUGAACCAGCCAUGCCGCGUGCAGGAAGACGGCUCUAUGAGUUGUAAACUGCUUUUGUACGAGGGUAAACGCAGAUGCGCGUCUCUGUCUGAAAGUAUCGUACGAAUAAGGAUCGGCUAACUCCGUUCCAGCAGCCGCGGUAAGACGGAGGAUUCAAGCGUUACCCGGAUUUAGUGGGUUUAAAGGGUGCGUAGGCGGUCGGAUAAGUUAGAGGUGAAAUCCCGAGGCUCAACUUCGGAAUUGCCUCGGAUACUGUUCGGAUAGAGAGUAGUUGCGGUAGGCGGAAGGUAUGGUGUAGCGGUGAAAUGCUUAGAGAUCAUACAGAACACCGAUUGCGAAGGCAGCUUACCAAGCUACUUCUGACGUUGAGGCACGAAAGCGUGGGGAGCAAACAGGAUUAGAUACCCGAGUAGUC